rnacentral:rRNA from 1 species
UGGGGGAUAUUGCACAAUGGAGGAAACUCUGAUGCAGCAACGCCGCGUGAGGGAAGAAGGUCUUCGGAUUGUAAACCUUUGUUUUUAGUGAAGAAAAGAAUGACGGUAGCUAAAGAGGAAGCCACGGCUAACUACGUGCCAGCAGCCGCGGUAAUACGUAGGUGGUAAGCGUUGUCCGGAUUUACUGGGUGUAAAGGGUGCGCAGGCGGGACUGCAAGUUGGAUGUGAAAUACCGGGGCUCAACCCCGGAACUGCAUCCAAAACUGUGGUUCUUGAGUGGAGUAGAGGUAAGCGGAAUUCCGAGUGUAGCGGUGAAAUGCGUAGAUAUUCGGAGGAACACCAGUGGCGAAGGCGGCUUACUGGGCUCUAACUGACGCUGAGGCUCGAAAGCGUGGGGAGCAAACAGGAUUAGAUACCCUGGUA